UGGGGAAUAUUGCACAAUGGGCGCAAGCCUGAUGCAGCCAUGCCGCGUGUAUGAAGAAGGCCUUCGGGUUGUAAAGUACUUUCAGUCGGGAGGAAGGUGUCAAGGUUAAUAACCUUGGCAAUUGACGUUACCGACAGAAGAAGCACCGGCUAACUCCGUGCCAGCAGCCGCGGUAAUACGGAGGGUGCAAGCGUUAAUCGGAAUUACUGGGCGUAAAGCGCACGCAGGCGGUUGAUUGAGUCAGAUGUGAAAUCCCCGGGCUUAACCCGGGAAAUGCAUCUGAUACUGGUUAGCUUGAGUUCUGGAGGGGGGGGGAGAAUUUCAUGUGUAGCGGUGAAAUGCGUAGAGAUGGGGGGGAAUUCCGGGGGCGAAGGCGGCCCCCUGGACAAAGACUGACGCUCAGGUGCGAAAGCGUGGGGAGCAAACAGG
rnacentral:rRNA from 1 species